rnacentral:rRNA from 1 species
GGAGGCAGCAGUGGGGAAUAUUGGACAAUGGGGGCAACCCUGAUCCAGCCAUGCCGCGUGUGUGAAGAAGGCCUUUUGGUUGUAAAGCACUUUAAGCGAGGAGGAGGCUCUCUUGGUUAAUACCUGAGAAGAGUGGACGUUACUCGCAGAAUAAGCACCGGCUAACUCUGUGCCAGCAGCCGCGGUAAUACAGAGGGUGCGAGCGUUAAUCGGAAUUACUGGGCGUAAAGCGCGCGUAGGUGGUUCAGUAAGAUGGAAGUGAAAUCCCCGGGCUCAACCUGGGAACUGCUUUCAUAACUGCUGGGCUAGAGUACGGUAGAGGGUAGUGGAAUUUCCUGUGUAGCGGUGAAAUGCGUAGAUAUAGGAAGGAACAUCAGUGGCGAAGGCGACCACCUGGACUGAUACUGACACUGAGGUGCGAAAGCGUGGGGAGCAAACAGGAUUAGAUACCCUGGUAGUCCACGCCGUAAACGAUGUCAACUAGUUGUUGGGUUCCUUGAGGACUUAGUAACGCAGCUAACGCAUUAAGUUGACCGCCUGGGGAGUACGGCCGCAAGGUUAAAACUCAAAUGAAUUGACGGGGGCCCGCACAAGCGGUGGAGCAUGUGGUUUAAUUCGAUGCAACGCGAAGAACCUUACCUACUCUUGACAUCCAGAGAACUUUCCAGAGAUGGAUUGGUGCCUUCGGGAACGCUAACACAGGUGCUGCAUGGCUGUCGUCAGCUCGUGUUGUGAAAUGUUGGGUUAAGUCCCGUAACGAGCGCAACCCCUAUCCUUAUUUGCCAGCGAGUUAAGUCGGGAACUCUAAGGAGACUGCCGGUGACAAACCGGAGGAAGGUGGGGAUGACGUCAAAUCAUCAUGCCCCUUAUGAUUUGGGCUACACACGUGCUACAAUGGGCUGAACAAAG